rnacentral:rRNA from 1 species
GAUGAACGCUGGCGGCGUGCCUAAUACAUGCAAGUCGAGCGAACAGAUAAGGAGCUUGCUCCUUUGACGUUAGCGGCGGACGGGUGAGUAACACGUGGGUAACCUACCUAUAAGACUGGAAUAACUCCGGGAAACCGGGGCUAAUGCCGGAUAACAUUUAGAACCGCAUGGUUCUAAAGUGAAAGAUGGUUUUGCUAUCACUUAUAGAUGGACCCGCGCCGUAUUAGCUAGUUGGUAAGGUAACGGCUUACCAAGGCAACGAUACGUAGCCGACCUGAGAGGGUGAUCGGCCACACGGGAACUGAGACACGGUCCGGACUCCUACGGGAGGCAGCAGUAGGGAAUCUUCCGCAAUGGGCGAAAGCCUGACGGAGCAACGCCGCGUGAGUGAUGAAGGUCUUCGGAUCGUAAAACUCUGUUAUUAGGGAAGAACAAAUGUGUAAGUAACUGUGCACGUCUUGACGGUACCUAAUCAGAAAGCCACGGCUAACUACGUG